rnacentral:rRNA from 1 species
AACGAACGCUGGCGGCAUGCCUAACACAUGCAAGUCGAACGAGACCUUCGGGUCUAGUGGCGCACGGGUGCGUAACGCGUGGGAACCUGCCCUUAGGUUCGCAAUAACUCCCCGAAAGGGGUGCUAAUACCGGAUAAUGUCUUCGGACCAAAGAUUUAUCGCCUUUGGAUGGGCCCGCGUUGGAUUAGCUAGUUGGUAGGGUAAAAGCCUACCAAGGCGACGUUCCAUAGCUGGUCUGGGAGGAUGAUCAGCCACGCUGGGACUGAGACACGGCCCAGACUCGUACGGGAGGGAGCAGUGGGGAAUAUUGGACGAUGGGCGAAAGCCUGAUCCAGCAAUGCCGCGUGAGUGAUGAAGGCCUUAGGGUUGUAAAGCUCUUUUACCCGGGAUGAUAAUGACGGUACCGGGAGAAUAAGCUCCGGCUAACUCCGUG